UACGAAGGGGCUAGCGUUGCUCGGAAUCACUGGGCGUAAAGGGUGCGUAGGCGGGUCUUUAAGUCAGGGGUGAAAUCCUGGAGCUCAACUCCAGAACUGCCUUUGAUACUGAAGAUCUUGAGUUCGGGAGAGGUGAGUGGAACUGCGAGUGUAGAGGUGAAAUUCGUAGAUAUUCGCAAGAACACCAGUGGCGAAGGCGGCUCACUGGCCCGAUACUGACGCUGAGGCACGAAAGCGUGGGGAG
rnacentral:rRNA from 1 species